GAUGAACGCUGGCGGCGUGCCUAACACAUGCAAGUCGAACGGAAAGGCGCCUUUGGGGGUCCUCGAGUGGCGAACGGGUGCGUAAGACUUACGUAAGCUUCCCCUCCCUUUGAGAUACGGAUCACUAACUGGGGCCAUUACCCAUACGGUAUACUUUCUUCAACCGGGGGGUUCAAAAGCUUCAGCGGUUUUUGCUGGCCCUGCUAGAUAGCAUCGUGGCGGGUUAGAUAGUUGGUGGGGUAACCGCUUACUAUGGCGACGAUGGGUAGCCGACCUGAGAGGGUGAUCGGCCACACUGGGACUGAGACACGGCCCAGACUCCUACGGGAGGCAGCAGUGGGGAAUGGUGGACAAUGGGCGGAAGCCUGACCGAGCAACGCCGCGUGGAUGAUGAAGGGCUUCGGGUGGUAAAACGCUGUUAGGGGGGAAGAACAACUUUAUCAGGAGCGAAGCGUGUCGUGACGGUACCUGAAGAGAAAGCACCGGCUAACUACGUG
rnacentral:rRNA from 1 species